rnacentral:lncRNA from 1 species
CCUCUUCGCUAGAAACCGCUACUUAAACAGCAGUCCCUUUGUUCAUAGCAGGAUUGUUUCUGUAAUCAACGAUAUCUUCUUUAUUGUAAUAUUUGUAGCUGGUCAUAUCGUCCAGGGAGUUUUACUAAACAAUUCCGCAGAAUACAUUUGUUCACUAUCAAAGUACUGCGUGAUACCAGUGAUGACAAAUGAAGACUGGCUCCCGGUAUGAUAAUACAGUUGUAGAACCUAUCUAAAUUUUUAACAUGAUGUCAUUCAAAUAAUGCAUGAAAU